rnacentral:piRNA from 1 species
UGCUCUAUCCUGCAGGUAUAAACUAGGUAG